UACGUAGGGUGCGAGCGUUAAUCGGAAUUACUGGGCGUAAAGCGUGCGCAGGCGGUUUUGUAAGCCAGAUGUGAAAUCCCCGGGCUUAACCUGGGAAUGGCAUUUGGGACUGCAAGGCUGGAGUGCGGCAGAGGAGACUGGAAUUCCUGGUGUAGCAGUGAAAUGCGUAGAUAUCAGGAGGAACACCGAUGGCGAAGGCAGGUCUCUGGGCUGACACUGACGCUGAGGAGCGAAAGUGUGGGGAGCGAACAGG
rnacentral:rRNA from 1 species